GUGCCAGCCGCCGCGGUAAGACGUAGGGGACGAGCGUUGUCCGGAUUUAUUGGGCGUAAAGCGCGCGCAGGCGGCCCGCUAAGUCGGAUGUGAAAUCCCGCGGCUCAACCGCGGAACUGCACUCGAUACUGGUGGGCUUGAGGCAGGUAGGGGAGAUCGGAAUUCCUGGUGUAGCGGUGAAAUGCGCAGAUAUCAGGAGGAACACCGGUGGCGAAGGCGGAUCUCUGGGCCUGUCCUGACGCUGAGGCGCGAAAGCUAGGGGAGCGAACAGGAUUAGAUACCCGCGUAGUCC
rnacentral:rRNA from 1 species